UACGUAGGGGGCAAGCGUUGUCCGGAUUUAUUGGGCGUAAAGAGCGUGUAGGCGGCUAGGUAGGUCCGUUGUGAAAACUCGAGGCUCAACCUCGAGACGCCGAUGGAUACCAUCUAGCUAGAGUCCGGAAGAGGAGAGUGGAAUUCCUGGUGUAGCGGUGAAAUGCGCAGAUAUCAGGAAGAACACCCGUGGCUAAGGCGGCUCUCUAGUACGGUACUGACGCUGAGACGCGAAAGCGUGGGGAGCGAACAGG
rnacentral:rRNA from 1 species